ACGAAUCGUACGUAGCGUCUGGAGUGUAUCGUUCUUUCUCUAACUCGGUCGUAUUCGGUGUUAGUCGGUUAUAUUCGAUGUUACUCGGUUAAACUCGGUAGGGCUCGGUCGGGUUCCUCUUUACACGCGACUCGUUGCUUGGCCUGACUCCUCUCUCUCUCUCUCUCUCUCUCUCUUGCUCGCUCGGUGUUGGUCGUAAAUGGUUAGAUGCGCAUGCGCGAGUUGGCGUAUCCUUCUUUCUCUCUCUCUCUCUCUCUCAGUUAAAACCCCCUACGAUCGGUACGUCCCUGUCCUCUCGCGACCCCACCUACCCGCGACACGAAAACUCUUAGCCCCCCGGCCCUCCUUCCUUGCUGAUAUCCAUCCCCUUUCCCCUAACGUCUCCCUGAUUCCGCCUUGCCUGGCUGGCAGCCUGUGCCGUCCGUCCUUACGUCCGUCCGUCCGCCGUUUGGUAGGAUCUAUGCUUGUGUCGGUGGAUUUCGUGACGUUAACCUGGCGGCCCUGAAAACGUCGUCGUUCGCGGACCGAUCGUGCGUUUUCGACUGUGCCCUUACGACGUCUGCCCGUCGGUGUGAUACGCGCACUAGUAAAUCAUUGGCGGAGGUGGUGGCGGCGGAUGCUGUGGAAAAAGAAGAAGGAAAGCUAAAAUACGGGAAUAAAGGAAUAAAACAAGUGGAAAAUAAAACGAUGCUAGGUGCGGUAGUAAUAGUAGUAGUAUUAGUGUCGACGAUGAUGACGAUGACAAUGGUUAUUAAUACGUGACACACAGUGCAGGGUCUCGCGUGUUGGUGUGCCCGCGGGUUUCAAGUGUGCACGAGUGUGUAAAAGUGAAGAAGAAAAUAUCACAUAUAUAUGCACACACAUCCAUUAUAUAUAUAUAUAUAUAUAUAUAUAUAAGAAAAGGGGUGAACGUACAGUGAGUGUUGUAAUUGAAGUAGUGACAAACAAAAAAAAAAAAGAAAAGGAAAAG